rnacentral:tmRNA from 1 species
ACCCUUGCUCAACUUGUUGUUAUUCUCCCUGAGCGAUGGCGUCCAAAAAGCCUGAUAAAACCUAUGAAGAAAUGGUCAAGGAAGUAGAAAGGCUUAAACUGGAGAAUAAAACACUUAAACAAAAGGUUAAGUCUUCAGGCGCUGUCUCAUCAGAUGAUAGCAUCUUGACAGCUGCCAAGAGAGAAAGUAUCAUUGUCUCUUCAUCCAGAGCACUAGGAGCAGUGGCUAUGAGAAAAAUCGAGGCUAAAGUCAGAUCCCGGGCGGCCAAAGCUGUUACAGAGCAGGAACUAACCUCUCUUCUCCAAUCGCUGACCCUGAGAGUUGACGUGUCUAUGGAGGAAACUACUGUGGGUGCCAGCGGAGGGAUUGGCCCAUCCUCUCAAACAGAGACCAAGAAAAGAAGACCCAGGUCCAAAUCAAGACACAGACAUGAUCAUGAAUAAAAAGAAACACUUGAAUCUAUAAUCAAAAUUGUCAGCAUCAUCGAUGAACGCGUCCUCAGAUGAUCCGGGACACGCUUCCUGAGUAAUUUGUUCUGGGAACACGUUGGAACAUGUCUCAUCCUGUUUUCCAACAAAAUCUUGUCCCUGAGGCUCAACAAUUGGCGGGGCGGGCGUUGAGCCAGAUUGCACAAUAUGCUGGACAGGCGUAUCCCUGUGGCUAGAGAGCAACUCGGCCAGAAAACCAUAAGCCUGUUCGUGCCCAGAAGUGCGAGCUGUGGGUUUCUUGUUUGGACUACCGUCUGAAGAAUAAUUUACCUCCUCAUCGCUCUCCCUUAAUCUCUUUGCGGAACAGGUGUGAUUAUCUGGAAUUAGUUGUGGUUGAACGGCGCCUGUGUACUCAAAGGAUCCGCCCAUAGCUGAGUUGGGAGUAGCAGAGACUCCAAUCAACUGGCUCAAGUAGACCUGCUUCGAUCCGUGCCAGUCCUAUAAGAACAGAAAACAUGGGGGAUGAAUUUUAUUAUCCUUCUCUGGAAAGCGUGGUCCACACCUUUUGUGUCAUAGAUACUAGGGAACAUAAUAGAGUAAGUGCCUGUUUGUGUAAGCUUCAGGUGCUGUGUAAAAUUUGUCAGACACUGCGCCACAACUUGGAUACAGAGCCAUUUUUGUUGCCCCACUUGAGGGAACUAAUUAUCAGACACCUAACACUAUUGGAGAGGUUGUCCACUACCUCCAAAUUUCAGCGCAUACUCGACUACAUGAAGCUAUCCCUUGAGGCAAAUGAUUCAAACUUGUUACAAGACUUGGCCAUAGGCACUGUCAAUUUACUGGGCUGUCAAAGUCCAGAGAUUUUGUCUAUCCCAUAUGACAAAGAUCAGCCUGUACAUGAAUGGUGUGCAUGUUUCCUGACCUCUGUAGACGAGGAAGCCUUGAGAAAAAUAUCUUCUAUGUUGGACAAUAAACACUUUUCUUAUAUGUACAACUUUAAAACAUUCUUAAAGUAUUCACUAGAGUUAGAAACAGCUGCAGACUUUGAUUUAUCUACUGGACUCAAUGUCCUUGUGUAUUGGGUAAGCGUCUUUAAACUGUUCAGUGUUUGUGUCCAAAGUCAGUUUCUGCUGGACAGCCUUGUGGCAUUUAAUGCCCUUUUUAAAAAUCAUGUAAAAGAGUUAGAAGCGAUUGUGGAAUCUGACACAAACCUGCUCUGCUAUAGCACAUCUGUUGUGUGGGCAAAAUUGUCUAACUUAAACCAUCUGCUCCACAGACUUCAGACUAGUAACAACACUUUAGUUUUUGAUGAAAUACUGAUCUGUCUGCGUGGUUUACAAAUUUAUAUAAAAUGUUUACCUACCUUAUCGGCUGAAGGGGAAUCCGAGUCAGAGGCCAUCGCUGCAGAAAUUCCCUCGUAGUGCAGGAGUUGUAUUUUUGAGUGUAGAUUGAAAAGAGUUGUGCUCUCUCCUCAGCCUUUGAAGGGACAUUUCAUGACUCAUGUAGGAGGAGCUACCAGAUUUCCAUAAAAGUGGGAGGCUAUUAUUUCUUGCAGACUGCAGCACAUUGUGGGAUAAUGUGUUCAAAAAUGGACCUUGAAACCCGUGAAGGUGGUGGUUGCCAGCAGGUUUCAAUUCUCAUGGUCACAUCUGACAGAGAAAAGGAACAGUAUGAGAAAUUUAUGAACAUACUUAAGAAUCUUUCAAAUUGUACUGAUAUAUCUCAGGUCGUGGCAGAUGCUAAAAAAAUCUAUGAUUCCAGGGAAUUUUGUUAUGUGCCUGCCCUUCUCACUCUGUUCAAGAAGUUGCCUUCUGUUCAUAAAUGGCCUGAAAAUGAAAACUGUAAUGAGGUGCUAAGUGCUGCCUUCUUUGUGUGCCAGCUCUUAUUUUUUCAUAACUUCCCAGCCUCACCAGCUUUUACAGUGGAUGAAAUGUUUGCAACAGUGGCUGCUAGAUUGAAGGAUCUGAUAGAAUAUUCAUGUGACUGUGAGAACUGUGAAUUGUUGGCUGAAUCCCUGACAAAUUAUAAGUUUUCCCUGGUACCUAUAAAGAUCAGGCCACACACCGAUACCUGUGUCUCACUGAAAACACUCCAGCGGCUACGGACUGCCAUGUUAGGCAAUCCUGAAACCCUGAGUAUUUGGACCCUUGAUGACCUGGUGGAGGACCCAGUAGUCUUCAAAGGCUAUGAAAGCGCAAUUAGGAGAGAAUUUGCUGAGCAUGUCACAUGUUUGAACAUGUGCUGGGUUGUGAAGAUAAUCUUGGACUGCAUGUCUCAGCCAACAGCUCUGCUUCGGGAUUGUAUUCAGAAGGGUGCAAAGAAUAAUGGACUCCAGCUGGACACUUCGAGUACCUGGACGUGGCCAGCAGCACGUAUUGCUGAAAAGGAAGUCAUAGAACAUACCAUGAGUGUUUGUGUACAGGAUAUGACUAGAAGUCAUGAUCAGGAAUUCUACACAGAGGCCUUUAAGGAAGAUCUCCAUAUAGGAUUAAAGAGACUAGUUGCCAUGGUCCUUGGGCAGAAUCAUAGUUGGUUAGAUGGCUUUCUGACAGACACUAUAGUGACAGGUAAAGCAUAGCCUGGGGCAUAGUUCUUUGAUGAAUCAUCAUAAAUAUGAUGGCUAAUGUGGUCCUUUUGUGUAUUAAUGCAGAUAUGUUUAUGUAUCCAGGUGUGUUGCUUGAAAGGUAUUUUGCUGUACUAACCCAACACCACCUAUUUAUCAUGUUUGGAAGCCUAUUAAAAACUGUGCUAUUGAC